UACGAAGGGGGGCUAGCGUUGCUCGGAAUCACUGGGCGUAAAGCGCACGUAGGCGGCUUUCUAAGUCAGGGGUGAAAUCCUGGAGCUCAACUCCAGAACUGCCUUUGAUACUGGAGAGCUAGAGUCCGGAAGAGGUGAGUGGAACUGCGAGUGUAGAGGUGAAAUUCGUAGAUAUUCGCAAGAACACCAGUGGCGAAGGCGGCUCACUGGUCCGGUACUGACGCUGAGGAGCGAAAGCUGGGGGAGCGAACAGG
rnacentral:rRNA from 1 species